AGCCAGUGGCCUGGCUGGGCUGAGCAACACGCGUGCGCGAACUGUGCAAGUGAAUUAAAAUUCACUUGCACAGUGCAAAUGCUAAUCAAACGAAAUAAUGCAAGAAGAAGAGGUUACUGACCUGGUCUGCUGAGCGCCUUUCUCCUUCGCCCUUCUUCGUUCUUGUUAUUCCUUCUGUGUGGGCACCUUUUCUACCUUGUUUAUUUCUUCUGCUGCUAAUGACUCGAAGCAAAAACUUUAGGCGAAUGACCGAACUGGUUCUCUGUUAUCUCCCCUGUUUCUGGGUUUCCCCUUUUGCUCUUUUUUGCUGUGUUUUAUGCCCUCUUUUCGUCUUCCAACCGUCGCCUCCCCUGCUUAUUUCCCCCUGUUUUCCCCUGUGUUCUGGGUUUUUAUUCUCUGGCUUUUGGUCCCUCCUCCUGGGUUUUUUGCCUCUGGUGCUUUUGUUUUUCGGUGUCUGGGGAAGAAAAGGAAGAAAAUAAAGCUUGGGGAGGGGCAGUGGCGGCUAUUCUAGGAUUCGGCCGCGCCCCUUUUUUUUUUUUUUUUGUUGUAAAUGUCUGUUUUAUGUUUUUUUUUUAGAGUUUUUGGUAAUGGCUUUAGGUUUUUUUUUUAGGGUCUCUUCUUUCCUCUCUUUUUCCUUCACCGUAUUCGCAUAGAUUGGGAUCGAUAUUUAUAGUGUAAGAGAAUAAAGUCUUAAUCAAAUUCAUUUUCUUUUUGAAAUUCAAAUUAGAAUCGAAUUCGAAAUCAGACAACUUUCAUUAUCUCGAAGGUAAGGAUUAUAUUGAAAAUAAGGAUCAU
rnacentral:lncRNA from 1 species